GAUUAAGUUAUUAAGGGCGCACGGUGGAUGCCUUGGCACUAGAAGCCGAUGAAGGACGUUACUAACGACGAUAUGCUUUGGGGAGCUGUAAGUAAGCUUUGAUCCAGAGAUUUCCGAAUGGGGAAACCCAGCAUGAGUUAUGUCAUGUUAUCGAUAUGUGAAUACAUAGCAUAUCAGAAGGCACACCCGGAGAACUGAAACAUCUUAGUACCCGGAGGAAGAGAAAGAAAAUUCGAUUCCCUUAGUAGCGGCGAGCGAAACGGGAAGAGCCCAAACCAACAAGCUUGCUUGUUGGGGUUGUAGGACACUCUAUACGGAGUUACAAAGGACGACAUUAGACGAAUCAUCUGGAAAGAUGAAUCAAAGAAGGUAAUAAUCCUGUAGUCGAAAAUGUUGUCUCUCUUGAGUGGAUCCUGAGUACGACGGAGCACGUGAAAUUCCGUCGGAAUCUGGGAGGACCAUCUCCUAAGGCUAAAUACUCUCUAGUGACCGAUAGUGAACCAGUACCGUGAGGGAAAGGUGAAAAGCACCCCGGAAGGGGAGUGAAAUAGAACCUGAAACCGUGUGCUUACAAGUAGUCAGAGCCCGUUAAUGGGUGAUGGCGUGCCUUUUGUAGAAUGAACCGGCGAGUUACGAUUUGAUGCAAGGUUAAGCAGUAAAUGUGGAGCCGUAGCGAAAGCGAGUCUGAAUAGGGCGUUUAGUAUUUGGUCGUAGACCCGAAACCAGGUGAUCUACCCUUGGUCAGGUUGAAGUUCAGGUAACACUGAAUGGAGGACCGAACCGACUUACGUUGAAAAGUGAGCGGAUGAACUGAGGGUAGCGGAGAAAUUCCAAUCGAACCUGGAGAUAGCUGGUUCUCUCCGAAAUAGCUUUAGGGCUAGCCUCAAGUGAUGAUUAUUGGAGGUAGAGCACUGUUUGGACGAGGGGCCCCUCUCGGGUUACCGAAUUCAGACAAACUCCGAAUGCCAAUUAAUUUAACUUGGGAGUCAGAACAUGGGUGAUAAGGUCCGUGUUCGAAAGGGAAACAGCCCAGACCACCAGCUAAGGUCCCAAAAUAUAUGUUAAGUGGAAAAGGAUGUGGCGUUGCCCAGACAACUAGGAUGUUGGCUUAGAAGCAGCCAUCAUUUAAAGAGUGCGUAAUAGCUCACUAGUCGAGUGACACUGCGCCGAAAAUGUACCGGGGCUAAACAUAUUACCGAAGCUGUGGAUUGUCCUUUGGACAAUGGUAGGAGAGCGUUCUAAGGGCGUUGAAGCAUGAUCGUAAGGACAUGUGGAGCGCUUAGAAGUGAGAAUGCCGGUGUGAGUAGCGAAAGACGGGUGAGAAUCCCGUCCACCGAUUGACUAAGGUUUCCAGAGGAAGGCUCGUCCGCUCUGGGUUAGUCGGGUCCUAAGCUGAGGCCGACAGGCGUAGGCGAUGGAUAACAGGUUGAUAUUCCUGUACCACCUAUAAUCGUUUUAAUCGAUGGGGGGACGCAGUAGGAUAGGCGAAGCGUGCGAUUGGAUUGCACGUCUAAGCAGUAAGGCUGAGUAUUAGGCAAAUCCGGUACUCGUUAAGGCUGAGCUGUGAUGGGGAGAAGACAUUGAGUCUUCGAGUCGUUGAUUUCACACUGCCGAGAAAAGCCUCUAGAUAGAAAAUAGGUGCCCGUACCGCAAACCGACACAGGUAGUCAAGAUGAGAAUUCUAAGGUGAGCGAGCGAACUCUCGUUAAGGAACUCGGCAAAAUGACCCCGUAACUUCGGGAGAAGGGGUGCUCUUUAGGGUUAACGCCCAGAAGAGCCGCAGUGAAUAGGCCCAAGCGACUGUUUAUCAAAAACACAGGUCUCUGCUAAACCGUAAGGUGAUGUAUAGGGGCUGACGCCUGCCCGGUGCUGGAAGGUUAAGAGGAGUGGUUAGCUUCUGCGAAGCUACGAAUCGAAGCCCCAGUAAACGGCGGCCGUAACUAUAACGGUCCUAAGGUAGCGAAAUUCCUUGUCGGGUAAGUUCCGACCCGCACGAAAGGCGUAACGAUUUGGGCACUGUCUCAACGAGAGACUCGGUGAAAUCAUAGUACCUGUGAAGAUGCAGGUUACCCGCGACAGGACGGAAAGACCCCGUGGAGCUUUACUGUAGCCUGAUAUUGAAAUUCGGCACAGCUUGUACAGGAUAGGUAGGAGCCUUUGAAACGUGAGCGCUAGCUUACGUGGAGGCGCUGGUGGGAUACUACCCUAGCUGUGUUGGCUUUCUAACCCACACCACUUAUCGUGGUGGGAGACAGUGUCAGGCGGGCAGUUUGACUGGGGCGGUCGCCUCCUAAAAGGUAACGGAGGCGCUCAAAGGUUCCCUCAGAAUGGUUGGAAAUCAUUCAUAGAGUGUAAAGGCAUAAGGGAGCUUGACUGCGAGACCUACAAGUCGAGCAGGGUCGAAAGACGGACUUAGUGAUCCGGUGGUUCCGCAUGGAAGGGCCAUCGCUCAACGGAUAAAAGCUACCCCGGGGAUAACAGGCUUAUCUCCCCCAAGAGUUCACAUCGACGGGGAGGUUUGGCACCUCGAUGUCGGCUCAUCGCAUCCUGGGGCUGUAGUCGGUCCCAAGGGUUGGGCUGUUCGCCCAUUAAAGCGGUACGCGAGCUGGGUUCAGAACGUCGUGAGACAGUUCGGUCCCUAUCCGUCGUGGGCGUAGGAAAUUUGAGAGGAGCUGUCCUUAGUACGAGAGGACCGGGAUGGACAUACCUCUGGUGUACCAGUUGUCGUGCCAACGGCAUAGCUGGGUAGCUAUGUGUGGACGGGAUAAGUGCUGAAAGCAUCUAAGCAUGAAGCCCCCCUCAAGAUGAGAUUUCCCAACUUCGGUUAUAAGAUCCCUCAAAGAUGAUGAGGUUAAUAGGUUCGAGGUGGAAGCAUGGUGACAUGUGGAGCUGACGAAUACUAAUCGAUCGAAGACUUAAUCAA
rnacentral:rRNA from 1 species